CUGAGGUCCAGAGAGCGGCAGGCACACGCGGGACAGCUCGCGGGCUGGGAGCUGUGCAGCUGCGGGGACCGACGCGCGGCCCGAACCGCGGCGUGCGGCAGCCCGCGGUCUCCCUCCCAGGGCUGGGGCGGGGGAAAGCCCAAGAGCCCGGGCCCCAGCGUUAGCCACGGCGACAGUGAUCACAGCGUGGGGCCGCUGCCAGCCCAGCGUCCUUAACGGAAGGCGGUAGGGUGGCAGCUAGGGAGGCCGAGUGGGCGGGCGGCUAAGGAAACCACCGCCCAGGCUACCACCGCGGGCGGCUCCGCUCGGGCGUGUUUGGGUCUGUUCCGGAGCCAGCGGGCGGUCAGAGGAACCGCUUCAGCGUUGACAUCCCGUCGCCGCGGGAAAACCGAAGCCCGCGGGUGCACGAUCGCUCCUGCUGCCCCUACGACUGACUCCUCCGGCUCACCGUCUUCCCUCUGGGAGGAAGGGGCGGGACAUCCUGCCUUUCCGUUGAGCGACUUCCGGCGGCUCCCUGGACAACUCCGUCGUGAGCCGACCGCCGGACGCUACAGCCAAAAUACAGGAUCUCGGGACCGGUUUAGUAAAACCCACUCCAAGUACCCUUUUUCUUUGCCUCGAAUGGCCAACGGGUUCGUGUGCCGUCUUGUUUUCGGUACAUCAUCGCUUGCCGGAAGUCGCUCGGAGAUGAAGCCGGAAGUCCCACCUCUCCCCUAGAGAAAACGGAAAGCCGAGGGAGUCAGUCUAAAGGAGAGACCGUGGUCCGGCUGGGAAGCUGGCGGUGACGGCCGGGGUGGGCAACCUGGGACUUAGAAGGUCCGCGAGCGGGUUCCUCCCGGGCGACUCUGCCUCCGCGUCCCCUCCCCUCUCCAACCACCUCGCCGCCCGCCUUGGGAAACCCCGAGGGUGACGCGGAGAAGCCGACGCCCCGGGCGCUGCGAAGGCCUGCGGGGCCUUGACCCGGCCGGAGGGGUGCCGCUGCCGAGGCCCUCAUGUAGAGGACCCAGCAAUUUCUGCUGGGCCAGGCGCGUGCGCCCCUCCAGAUUAAGAGAAAAAGCUCUCCCGAGACUCAGAUUGGAGUCCUCGCAGUCACAGGCCGAAGGGAGUCAGGAGCCGAAUUCCGAGGCAAAGGAGUUCAGUGUGGUGGUUCAGUUGGGCAAUAAGAACCGAAAACGCCCCAGCGUGGACUGUUUGUGAACGUUAACGGCACAAGGAUUGGCCGAAGAAAGACACUGUGCGCCCCAGUCACAGCCCCUCUGCCCCUUGUGCAGGAGCAUCUAGGGCUUCGAGUCUAGAACCUCAGGACCCAGGAAGGAAGACCAAGUGCAAGGACAGCAGCACCUUAUCUAGAGACCUGGGGUUAGAUGGUGACGAAUUCUAACUUCUCUUGCAGACAGGGGCACCUGUUAAUCAGAAUUGUAUUUAGGAAGAUAAAGUGAGUAGGCUUUGAAAUAAUGCCCUUAUAGUAAUAAUGAUAGGCUUCCUACCCACAUCAUCUCUCACGGCCAAUUUCAACUCAGUGCUAUUUAAAUCAGACUAAUUAAGAUAGAUCCGUGAUUCAACUGGUGUGUGGCAAGAAUUUUUAAAACAUGCAAUACCGGACUAGUCAGGGGCACUGACCUCUUUUCCCUUUGAUUCUCAAAUUAAAAAACGGGGACAGCCAACAGGCGCCCAGCACACUGAGGUCCAGAGAGCGGCAGGCACACGCAGGACUGGUGUGAAUGAAUCAGAAUUACAUGUAUGUUUUUUGUCCCUGUGCUGCAGAACUUUAGUCAUUAGUUUAUGUGUGCCAUGAGAUGAAAAAGGUAAGUCGCUGGGAUAGAGAGCUUCUUGCAGACCUUAUCUGAAUCCUGAAUAGAAUCCGAAUGAAUGCUCAAGCCUUCCACGGCAGGAAAGGGCUGUUUAGAAGCAUCAACCUUCCCAAGAUCACACAGCUAGUAAAAGUAGGACUUGGCUCUAAACUCCGCAGUCAGACUUCCCCACUCUACCAUACUGACUCAGUAAUUGUCCAUUAAAAACUAUAGAAACUUGGAAAACAGGUUUCUCAGAACAGGUGAUCAGCUUGUCAAUGUUAUAUCUGUUUCGUUAAUGUUUACUGGAUGCCUAUUGAAUGAAAGAUAAUUAAAACUAAAUUUGGUCUUCAGAGUUCCCUAGAAAUGUACUUGAAAAUGUAGUGCUUAUAAAUAAAAUGUUUACCAUCUAUUUCAA